UACGUAGGGCGCAAGCGUUAUCCGGAAUUAUUGGGCGUAAAGAGCUCGUAGGUGGUUUGUCGCGUUGUUCGUGAAAACUCACAGCUUAACUGUGGGCGUGCGGGCGAUACGGGCAGACUUGAGUACUGCAGGGGAGACUGGAAUUCCUGGUGUAGCGGUGGAAUGCGCAGAUAUCAGGAGGAACACCGAUGGCGAAGGCAGGUCUCUGGGCAUUAACUGACGCUGAGGAGCGAAAGCAUGGGGAGCGAACAGG
rnacentral:rRNA from 1 species